AUGCUUGCUUCAGCUGCACAUAUACAAAAAUUAGAAGGACACAGAGAAAAUUAGCAAGGCCCCCACGUAGGGAUGACAUCCAACUUUGUGAAGCAUUCCAUAUUUUA
rnacentral:snRNA from 1 species